AGGACAAACGCUGGCGGCGUACCUAAGACAUGCAAGUCGAACGGGCGCUUCACCUUCGGGUGGGUGUGCUAGUGGCGGACGGGUGAGUAACGCGUAGGAACCUGUCAUCAAGAGGGGGAUAACGCUGGGAAACCGGCGCUAAUACCGCAUGUGGUCAUGAAAAUGAAGAAAGCAGCAAUGCGCUUGAUGAGGGGCCUGCGUCCGAUUAGCUUGUUGGUGGGGUAAAGGCCUACCAAGGCAUCGAUCGGUAGCUGGUCUGAGAGGAUGGUCAGCCACACUGGGACUGAGACACGGCCCAGACUCCUACGGGAGGCAGCAGUUAGGAAAUUUUCCCAAUGGGCGCAAGCCUGAGGGAGUAACGCCGCGUGGAGGAUGACGGCUUUCGGGUUGUAAACUCCUUUUCUGUGGGAAGAGUAGAAGACGGUACCGCAGGAAUAAGCCUCGGCUAACUACGUGCCAGUAGCCGC
rnacentral:rRNA from 1 species